UACGGGGGGAGCAAGCGUUGUUCGGAUUUACUGGGCGUAAAGGGCGCGUAGGCGGUCAGCACAAGUCAGUUGUGAAAUCUCCGGGCUUAACUCGGAAAGGUCAACUGAUACUGUGCGACUAGAGUGCAGAAGGGGCAACUGGAAUUCCUGGUGUAGCGGUGAAAUGCGCAGAUAUCAGGAGGAACACCGGUGGCGAAGGCGGGUCUCUGGGCAGUAACUGACGCUGAGGAGCGAAAGCGUGGGGAGCGAACAGG
rnacentral:rRNA from 1 species